rnacentral:lncRNA from 1 species
UAGAAAAGGAAAUUAAAUGAAAAAAAUCAAUAAAAAUUAAAUUAAAUCUUCAGUUGUUAAGAGGAAGUCAAGCUCUUUGGAUCAUUUUCCUCUGAAUGGAGGGUGUGCUUCUGAAGACUUUUUCUUCAGGAUUCUCUCUUUAGAGAGGUCUCUUAAUAGACUCAAGUUCAAUACAAUUUAUUUUCUGAAGUUUUAUUUCUCCUUGGCCCUUCUAUUUGGGGAUUUGGAUCUGGAGAGUGAGACACCUUCUUAAUAGUAACUCAACAACAAAGUUAUAAAAGCUACGGCGUUGUGUUUGGGGUUCACAACUCAAUACGUCCCCCGUUGUAUAAGAAAACUGUUAUUUUGCGUGUUCUCAUUCGAAGGCUUUAACUCUCUAGAA